GGUGAUCUCAUACAAGCAUAGAAUCACAGAAUAUCCUAAUUUGAAAGGGUCCCACAACGAUCAUCAAGUUCAGCUCCUGGCCUUGU